rnacentral:rRNA from 1 species
UUAAGCGACUAAGCGUACACGGUGGAUGCCCUGGCAGUCAGAGGCGAUGAAGGACGUGCUAAUCUGCGAAAAGCGUCGGUAAGGUGAUAUGAACCGUUAUAACCGGCGAUGUCCGAAUGGGGAAACCCAGUGCAAUUCGUUGCACUAUCGUUAACUGAAUACAUAGGUUAACGAGGCGAACCGGGGGAACUGAAACAUCUAAGUACCCCGAGGAAAAGAAAUCAACCGAGAUUCCCCCAGUAGCGGCGAGCGAACGGGGAGCAGCCCAGAGUCUGAAUCAGCUUGUGUGUUAGUGGAACGGUCUGGAAAGUCCGACGGUACAGGGUGAUAGUCCCGUACACCAAAAUGCACAGGCUGUGAACUCGAAGAGUAGGGCGGGACACGUGGUAUCCUGUCUGAAUAUGGGGGGACCAUCCUCCAAGGCUAAAUACUCCUGACUGACCGAUAGUGAACCAGUACCGUGAGGGAAAGGCGAAAAGAACCCCGGCGAGGGGAGUGAAAAAGAACCUGAAACCGUGUACGUACAAGCAGUGGGAGCACCUUCGGGUGUGACUGCGUACCUUUUGUAUAAUGGGUCAGCGACUUAUAUUCUGUAGCAAGGUUAACCGUAUAGGGGAGCCGCAGGGAAACCGAGUCUUAACUGGGCGUUAAGUUGCAGGGUAUAGACCCGAAACCCGGUGAUCUAGCCAUGGGCAGGUUGAAGGUUGGGUAACACUAACUGGAGGACCGAACCGACUAAUGUUGAAAAAUUAGCGGAUGACUUGUGGCUGGGGGUGAAAGGCCAAUCAAACCGGGAGAUAGCUGGUUCUCCCCGAAAGCUAUUUAGGUAGCGCCUCGUGAACUCAUCUUCGGGGGUAGAGCACUGUUUCGGCUAGGGGGUCAUCCCGACUUACCAACCCGAUGCAAACUACGAAUACCGAAGAAUGUUAUCACGGGAGACACACGGCGGGUGCUAACGUCCGUCGUGAAGAGGGAAACAACCCAGACCGCCAGCUAAGGUCCCAAAGUCAUGGUUAAGUGGGAAACGAUGUGGGAAGGCACAGACAGCCAGGAUGUUGGCUUAGAAGCAGCCAUCAUUUAAAGAAAGCGUAAUAGCUCACUGGUCGAGUCGGCCUGCGCGGAAGAUGUAACGGGGCUAAACCAUGCACCGAAGCUGCGGCAGCGACACUAUGUGUUGUUGGGUAGGGGAGCGUUCUGUAAGCCUGCGAAGGUGACCUGUGAGGGUUGCUGGAGGUAUCAGAAGUGCGAAUGCUGACAUAAGUAACGAUAAAGCGGGUGAAAAGCCCGCUCGCCGGAAGACCAAGGGUUCCUGUCCAACGUUAAUCGGGGCAGGGUGAGUCGACCCCUAAGGCGAGGCCGAAAGGCGUAGUCGAUGGGAAACAGGUUAAUAUUCCUGUACUUGGUGUUACUGCGAAGGGGGGACGGAGAAGGCUAUGUUAGCCGGGCGACGGUUGUCCCGGUUUAAGCAUGUAGGCUGGUUGUCCAGGCAAAUCCGGAUAAUCAAGGCUGAGGUGUGAUGACGAGGUACUACGGUGCUGAAGUAACAAAUGCCCUGCUUCCAGGAAAAGCCUCUAAGCAUCAGGUAACAUUAAAUCGUACCCCAAACCGACACAGGUGGUCAGGUAGAGAAUACCAAGGCGCUUGAGAGAACUCGGGUGAAGGAACUAGGCAAAAUGGUGCCGUAACUUCGGGAGAAGGCACGCUGGUGUGUAGGUGAAGUCCCUGCGGAUGGAGCUGAGACCAGUCGAAGAUACCAGCUGGCUGCAACUGUUUAUUAAAAACACAGCACUGUGCAAACACGAAAGUGGACGUAUACGGUGUGACGCCUGCCCGGUGCCGGAAGGUUAAUUGAUGGGGUUAUCCGUAAGGAGAAGCUCUUGAUCGAAGCCCCGGUAAACGGCGGCCGUAACUAUAACGGUCCUAAGGUAGCGAAAUUCCUUGUCGGGUAAGUUCCGACCUGCACGAAUGGCGUAAUGAUGGCCAGGCUGUCUCCACCCGAGACUCAGUGAAAUUGAACUCGCUGUGAAGAUGCAGUGUACCCGCGGCAAGACGGAAAGACCCCGUGAACCUUUACUAUAGCUUGACACUGAACAUUGAGCCUUGAUGUGUAGGAUAGGUGGGAGGCUUUGAAGCGUGGACGCCAGUCUGCGUGGAGCCAACCUUGAAAUACCACCCUUUAAUGUUUGAUGUUCUAACGUUGGCCCCUGACCGGGGUUGCGGACAGUGUCUGGUGGGUAGUUUGACUGGGGCGGUCUCCUCCCAAAGCGUAACGGAGGAGCACGAAGGUUAGCUAAUCCUGGUCGGACAUCAGGAGGUUAGUGCAAUGGCAUAAGCUAGCUUGACUGCGAGCGUGACGGCGCGAGCAGGUGCGAAAGCAGGUCAUAGUGAUCCGGUGGUUCUGAAUGGAAGGGCCAUCGCUCAACGGAUAAAAGGUACUCCGGGGAUAACAGGCUGAUACCGCCCAAGAGUUCAUAUCGACGGCGGUGUUUGGCACCUCGAUGUCGGCUCAUCACAUCCUGGGGCUGAAGUAGGUCCCAAGGGUAUGGCUGUUCGCCAUUUAAAGUGGUACGCGAGCUGGGUUUAGAACGUCGUGAGACAGUUCGGUCCCUAUCUGCCGUGGGCGCUGGAGAAUUGAGGGGGGCUGCUCCUAGUACGAGAGGACCGGAGUGGACGCAUCACUGGUGUUCGGGUUGUCAUGCCAAUGGCACUGCCCGGUAGCUAAAUGCGGAAGAGAUAAGUGCUGAAAGCAUCUAAGCACGAAACUUGCCCCGAGAUGAGUUCUCCCUGAGACUUUAAGUCUCCUGAAGGAACGUUGAAGACGACGACGUUGAUAGGCCGGGUGUGUAAGCGCAGCGAUGCGUUGAGCUAACCGGUACUAAUGAACCGUGAGGCUUAACCUU